UCUGGACAUGUCCACUCAGGACUCUGCCGGA
rnacentral:piRNA from 1 species